rnacentral:rRNA from 1 species
AACCGUUAUAACCGGCGAUUUCCGAAUGGGGAAACCCAGUGUGUUUCGACACACUAUCAUUAACUGAAUCCAUAGGUUAAUGAGGCGAACCGGGGGAACUGAAACAUCUAAGUACCCCGAGGAAAAGAAAUCAACCGAGAUUCCCCCAGUAGCGGCGAGCGAACGGGGAGGAGCCCAGAGCCUGAAUCAGUGUGUGUGUUAGUGGAAGCGUCUGGAAAGGCGCGCGAUACAGGGUGACAGCCCCGUACACAAAAAUGCACAUAUUGUGAGCUCGAUGAGUAGGGCGGGACACGUGGUAUCCUGUCUGAAUAUGGGGGGACCAUCCUCCAAGGCUAAAUACUCCUGACUGACCGAUAGUGAACCAGUACCGUGAGGGAAAGGCGAAAAGAACCCCGGCGAGGGGAGUGAAAAAGAACCUGAAACCGUGUACGUACAAGCAGUGGGAGCCUCUUAAUGGGGUGACUGCGUACCUUUUGUAUAAUGGGUCAGCGACUUAUAUUCUGUAGCAAGGUUAACCGAAUAGGGGAGCCGAAGGGAAACCGAGUCUUAACUGGGCGUUAAGUUGCAGGGUAUAGACCCGAAACCCGGUGAUCUAGCCAUGGGCAGGUUGAAGGUUGGGUAACACUAACUGGAGGACCGAACCGACUAAUGUUGAAAAAUUAGCGGAUGACUUGUGGCUGGGGGUGAAAGGCCAAUCAAACCGGGAGAUAGCUGGUUCUCCCCGAAAGCUAUUUAGGUAGCGCCUCGUGAAUUCAUCUCCGGGGGUAGAGCACUGUUUCGGCAAGGGGGUCAUCCCGACUUACCAACCCGAUGCAAACUGCGAAUACCGGAGAAUGUUAUCACGGGAGACACACGGCGGGUGCUAACGUCCGUCGUGAAGAGGGAAACAACCCAGACCGCCAGCUAAGGUCCCAAAGUCAUGGUUAAGUGGGAAACGAUGUGGGAAGGCCCAGACAGCCAGGAUGUUGGCUUAGAAGCAGCCAUCAUUUAAAGAAAGCGUAAUAGCUCACUGGUCGAGUCGGCCUGCGCGGAAGAUGUAACGGGGCUAAACCAUGCACCGAAGCUGCGGCAGCGACACUAUGUGUUGUUGGGUAGGGGAGCGUUCUGUAAGCCUGUGAAGGUGGCCUGUGAGGGUUGCUGGAGGUAUCAGAAGUGCGAAUGCUGACAUAAGUAACGAUAAAGCGGGUGAAAAGCCCGCUCGCCGGAAGACCAAGGGUUCCUGUCCAACGUUAAUCGGGGCAGGGUGAGUCGACCCCUAAGGCGAGGCCGAAAGGCGUAGUCGAUGGGAAACAGGUUAAUAUUCCUGUACUUGGUGUUACUGCGAAGGGGGGACGGAGAAGGCUAUGUUGGCCGGGCGACGGUUGUCCCGGUUUAAGCGUGUAGGCUGGUUUUCCAGGCAAAUCCGGAAAAUCAAGGCUGAGGCGUGAUGACGAGGCACUACGGUGCUGAAGCGACAAAUGCCCUGCUUCCAGGAAAAGCCUCUAAGCAUCAGGUAACAUCAAAUCGUACCCCAAACCGACACAGGUGGUCAGGUAGAGAAUACCAAGGCGCUUGAGAGAACUCGGGUGAAGGAACUAGGCAAAAUGGUGCCGUAACUUCGGGAGAAGGCACGCUGAUAUGUAGGUGAAGCGACUUGCUCGUGGAGCUGAAAUCAGUCGAAGAUACCAGCUGGCUGCAACUGUUUAUUAAAAACACAGCACUGUGCAAACACGAAAGUGGACGUAUACGGUGUGACGCCUGCCCGGUGCCGGAAGGUUAAUUGAUGGGGUUAGCGGUAACGCGAAGCUCUUGAUCGAAGCCCCGGUAAACGGCGGCCGUAACUAUAACGGUCCUAAGGUAGCGAAAUUCCUUGUCGGGUAAGUUCCGACCUGCACGAAUGGCGUAAUGAUGGCCAGGCUGUCUCCACCCGAGACUCAGUGAAAUUGAACUCGCUGUGAAGAUGCAGUGUACCCGCGGCAAGACGGAAAGACCCCGUGAACCUUUACUAUAGCUUGACACUGAACAUUGAGCCUUGAUGUGUAGGAUAGGUGGGAGGCUUUGAAGUGUGGACGCCAGUCUGCAUGGAGCCGACCUUGAAAUACCACCCUUUAAUGUUUGAUGUUCUAACGUGGGCCCCUUACCGGGGUUGCGGACAGUGUCUGGUGGGUAGUUUGACUGGGGCGGUCUCCUCCUAAAGAGUAACGGAGGAGCACGAAGGUUGGCUAAUCCUGGUCGGACAUCAGGAGGUUAGUGCAAUGGCAUAAGCCAGCUUGACUGCGAGCGUGACGGCGCGAGCAGGUGCGAAAGCAGGUCAUAGUGAUCCGGUGGUUCUGAAUGGAAGGGCCAUCGCUCAACGGAUAAAAGGUACUCCGGGGAUAACAGGCUGAUACCGCCCAAGAGUUCAUAUCGACGGCGGUGUUUGGCACCUCGAUGUCGGCUCAUCACAUCCUGGGGCUGAAGUAGGUCCCAAGGGUAUGGCUGUUCGCCAUUUAAAGUGGUACGCGAGCUGGGUUUAGAACGUCGUGAGACAGUUCGGUCCCUAUCUGCCGUGGGCGCUGGAGAACUGAGGGGGGCUGCUCCUAGUACGAGAGGACCGGAGUGGACGCAUCACUGGUGUUCGGGUUGUCAUGCCAAUGGCACUGCCCGGUAGCUAAAUGCGGAAGAGAUAAGUGCUGAAAGCAUCUAAGCACGAAACUUGCCCCGAGAUGAGUUCUCCCUGACUCCUUGAGAGUCCUGAAGGAACGUUGAAGACGACGACGUUGAUAGGCCGGGUGUGUAAGCGCAGCGAUGCGUUGAGCUAACCGGUACUAAUGAACCGUGAGGCUUAACCUUACAACGCCGAAG